UGAAGUGUCGUAUAUUUUUGUGUAUGGGAUUAAUUGCACUUUGAUUUUAAUGUGCAUGAUUAUUACUAUGUUUAAAAUGUGUGAAAGCCAAAUAUACUCAUGAUACAAUGCUUGAUUAGUUGAUUAACAAUAAGUUAAAUUUGUUUAAUUCAAGCUCAAGAGCAUAAGGAGCCAAUUUUGGAUAAAGGGAAAGCGAAACUAGUCGAUUAGUCAAUCCGUAGUUAUUCGAUAAAAUCCAAGGGUUGCCAGGUUUGCUCAGGUUGGAGGCCAUUAGAGAUGUUAUCACACUGUCGAGUUCACGCUAUUGGUGUAAGUAAAUCCUAGUGUUUCGAGUCUAUGGCAUGUAUAGGGUUUUAAUGUUGAGUAUGUGAUAUUAUAAUCUAGCCAAAGGUGUUGGCUUGUAUUGAUAAAGUGUUUUGGCCAUGUGAAUUGGCCUAUGUUGGCUAAUGAUGCUAAUGAUGUUGUGGACCUAAAUGUUUAUUCAUAUAUAUGUAUGAUACUAUCUCUUGUGAUGUGAGCAAA